rnacentral:rRNA from 1 species
UGGUGGAGUGAUUUGUCUGGUUCAUUCCGCUAACGAACGAGACCUUAACCUGCUAAAUAGUUGCAUGUAACCUCUGUUACAUGGGCAUCUUCUUAGAGGGACUUUGUGUGUCUGCCACAAGGAAGUUUGAACAAUAACA